rnacentral:lncRNA from 1 species
CACGGUCGCUGCAGCAGGAGCAGCACGUUGGGCCCUCCAUCACUUGCCGCUGGAGGCAUUUGUGGGAUUUGGGACAUAGUUUGACAUCUAGUGGUAACGUGUGGAAUAAUCCCAGAGCUCGUACGGCGAGUACAAGGGUCACAGUCCUGCAUCAGCAAAGGGCUAACUCCUGAACCAUUUGGACCAUGCAGUGUGGCUGUGCAUCCUCAGUGUUGGACUCUGGAGAGGACAACAGACAGCAAGGCUUUGAAGUCUUUCACAGCCCUUGGCCUUACGUGGGGUCCAAGGGAGGAAGGGGUCAAGCCACAUGGGAUACUCCUGAUCAGUUUAUAAGGAGCCUUGAGGUACAGUUGCUUUUGUUAGCAGGGACUGGACUGUAUCACCUUGGAAAACUCUUGCAUUCAAAUGUUCCCAAAUCACUGCACAUUGCAGCAGCAGGACAGUAGCGUGUCCAUUAUAAAAGCCUGUAGGAAUUUCUGUCCAUUGCAAGCUAAACUUCGGGUCAUACUCCUGGUUCUUCCCACUGCAGGCUGAAUA